UACGUGGGGUGCGAGCGUUAAUCGGAAUUACUGGGCGUAAAGCGUGCGUAGACGGUAGCGUAAGUCGGGUGUGAAAGCCCCGGGCUCAACCUGGGAAUUGCAUUCGAGACUGCUCUGCUAGGGUGCGGAAGAGGGGAGCGGAAUUUCCGGUGUAGCGGUGAAAUGCGUAGAUAUCGGAAGGAACACCAGUGGCGAAAGCGGCUCCCUGGUCCAGCACCGACGUUCAGGCACGAAAGCGUGGGGAGCAAACAGG
rnacentral:rRNA from 1 species